CCCUUGGUAGCUCAGUUGGAAGAGCGUGAGACUGUAACGGUAAUUGCACUAUCUCAAGGCCAUCAGUUCAAUCCUGAUUCAAGGGA